rnacentral:RNase_P_RNA from 1 species
AGGGGGCUGGUGACUAUCCAAUUGGGAGGAAGCUCCGCCCACCCAUUAUGUGCAACAAUCCCGAGAGGGAUUGAAUGGGGCAUAGAAACGACACGGCCUUAAAACAGAUGACGAUGAUAUCCGAAAAUUGAGGAGUUUUAAGGAAUCGGUGAAACGGCCCCAUUCUGCACGGGUGCAAGCAUUAGCGUUUAGCUGAAUGUCGCCGAAAUUACAGAAGGCGGGCUAUAGCCCCCA